AUUGAAGGAGCAUUUAUACAAGGUUUGGGAUGGGUAGCCUUGGAAGAACUAAAGUGGGGAGAUUCAGCUCAUAAGUGGAUACCACCUGGUUGCUUGUAUACUUGUGGACCUGGAAGUUACAAGAUUCCUUCCAUAAAUGAUGUUCCAUUCAAAUUGAGCGUGUCGCUUCUAAAGGGCCAUCCAAACGUAAAGGCCAUCCAUUCAUCUAAAGCUGUUGGUGAGCCUCCAUUUUUUCUUGCUUCAGCCGUCUUUUUCGCCAUCAAAGAUGCCAUUAUGGCUGCAAGAACAGAAGUUGGGCAUCACGAGUGGUUUCCCCUUGAUAAUCCGGCAACACCUGAACGGAUCCGGAUGGCCUGCCUAGAUGAAUUCACAGCACCAUUUAUAAACUCCGAUUACCGUCCCAAGCC
rnacentral:misc_RNA from 1 species